CUGCCCCCUUUGCCCCCUCCUCGGCCGCUGACGUGUGGGGAUGGGGGGCAAAGGGAGCAGCUGUGCUGGCGAUUUAAAAGGGCCCGGGGCUCCAGACACUGCUACCGCAGCAGCAGCAUCCAGUGCCCCGGGCCCUUUAAAUCGUCACGG